UACGUAGGGCGCAAGGCGUUAUCCGGAAUUAUUGGGCGUAAAGAGCUCGUAGGCGGUUUGUCGCGUCUGCCGUGAAAGUCCGGGGCCUCAACUCCGGAUCUGCGGUGGGUACGGGCAGACUAGAGUGAUGUAGGGGGAGACUGGAAUUCCUGGUGUAGCGGUGAAAUGCGCAGAUAUCAGGAGGAACACCGAUGGCGAAGGCAGGUCUCUGGGCAUUAACUGACGCUGAGGAGCGAAAGCAUGGGGGAGCGAACAGG
rnacentral:rRNA from 1 species